CCCCAAGAUAUAGGUAUAUAGAAUAGCCUAAAGAGCAAUACAAAUCUGUACAUACAGUAUAUGUAGAAUAACUCAAUGUCUGCUCUAUUGCAGACUUGCUGUCCUUUGCCUUUGAGGGAAUUGUGGAAUCUUGGAAGUGGCAAGAAGAAGCAAGAUGUGACAAAGAAUAAUUUGAAGGAAUCUGCAGCUCGUGCGGGGGGAGGGGAGGCAGCUCAGUGCAACACAGCCUGACUGGAUGAGUAGCAACAGCAGCAGCAGCAAUAGCACUAGCAGCAUCUCCUUUGUGGCUUGCUGGGGGGCUCGGUCACUAGAGCACCGCGCUCCCGCUCACAGACACACAGGCGCUCCCAGCGCCACCGUCACACACACGUAGUGGCAGUGGCAGUCGUCGUCAGAGCCGGGGCUGGGGCAGGGACAGGGACCGCUACCUUGACGACUGGAGCUACGGCGACAGCAGCUGCGGCACCAUGGCGCAAGCCGCCAAGCAGCUCCGCAAGAACAAGGACCUAGCAGAGCUCGCCGCUCAGGAGCUGAAGGAUAAGGAGGAGGAGAAGAACAAGAAGAGGAAUCGAUCAAGGGACCGCAGACGCAAGGCGGAUGCUGUCACCAGUUUCCUCCGUGCGGCCCGUUCAGGGAACCUUGACAAGGCUCUUGACCACAUCAAGAAUGGAAUAGACAUCAACACAUCAAAUCAGAAUGGGCUCAACGGUUUGCAUCUGGCCUCGAAAGAAGGCCACGUCAAGAUGGUCCUGGGGCUACUACACGCUGGCAUUGUCUUGGAGACCACCACUAAGAAAGGGAACACUGCCCUCCAUAUCGCUGCGUUGGCAGGCCAAGAGAAAGUGGUGGCUGAGCUCGUCAACUAUGGAGCCAAUGUCAAUUCCCAGUCCCAGAAAGGCUUCAGUCCCCUCUACAUGGCGGCACAAGAGAACCACUUAGAGGUAGUUAAGUUCCUGUUAGAGAAUGGAGCCAAUCAGAGCCUUCCAACAGAGGAUGGGUUCACGCCGCUGGCGGUGGCUCUCCAGCAGGGUCAUGAGAACAUGGUGGCCCUGCUCAUCAACUACGGCACCAAGGGCAAAGUCCGUCUUCCCGCUUUGCACAUCGCUGCACGCAACGACGACACACGCACUGCCGCAGUGCUAUUGCAGAAUGACCCUAACCCUGACGUCCUCAGCAAGACUGGCUUCACUCCUCUCCACAUCGCGGCUCACUAUGAGAACCUGAGUGUGGCCCAACUGCUAAUUAACAGAGGAGCCAAUGUCAACUAUACUCCCAAGAAUGGGAUCACCCCCCUGCACAUAGCUUCUAGGAGGGGUAAUGCGAUCAUGGUUCGGCUUUUGCUGGACAGAGGGGCCCAGAUAGACGCAAUGACCAAGGAUGAGCUGACCCCUUUGCACUGUGCGGCCAGGAACGGUCACGUGAGGAUCAUCGAUCUCCUGCUUGACCAGGGGGCUCCCAUCCAGGCCAAGACCAAGAAUGGCCUGUCCCCCAUUCACAUGGCGGCCCAGGGAGACCACAUGGACUGUGUGAGGCAGCUCCUUCAGUAUAACGCUGAGAUCGAUGACAUCACGCUGGACCACCUGACCCCUCUACACGUGGCGGCCCACUGUGGUCACCACCGCAUGGCCAAAGUGCUGCUGGACAAGGGGGCCAAGGCCAACGCACGUGCACUGAAUGGGUUCACUCCCCUCCACAUUGCCUGUAAGAAGAACCACAUGCGCUCCAUGGACCUGCUUCUGAAACACUCGGCCUCCCUGGAGGCCGUCACAGAGUCUGGUCUGACCCCCCUGCAUGUAGCAGCCUUCAUGGGCCACCUGAACAUUGUGAAGAACCUGCUCCACAGAGGUGCUUCUCCCAAUGCCUCCAAUGUGAAAGUGGAGACGCCCCUCCACAUGGCGUCCAGGGCAGGCCACUGUGAGGUGGCUCAGUUCCUGCUGCAGAACACAGCCCAGGUGGACGCCAAGGCGAAGGAUGACCAGACCCCUCUGCACUGUGCGGCCCGUAUGGGACAUAAGGAGCUGGUCAAGCUGCUCCUGGAGCACAAAGCCAAUCCUGACUCGGCUACCACCGCUGGCCACACCCCCUUACACAUCGCCGCCCGUGAGGGACACGCCCACACCACCCGCAUUCUCCUGGACGGGGCGGCCCAACAAACCAAGAUGACAAAGCAGAAAGGCUUCACUCCUCUCCAUGUGGCCUGUAAGUACGGCAAGGUGGACGUGGUCGAGCUGCUGCUGGAGAGAGGAGCCAACCCCAACGCGGCUGGAAAGCAGAACGGCCUGACUCCUCUACACGUGGCCGUCCAUCACAACAACCUGGACGUGGUCAAGCUGCUGGUCAGCAAGGGAGGCAACGCACACAGCACUGCCCGGAACGGCUACACUCCUCUGCACAUUGCAGCCAAGCAGAACCAGAUGGAGGCGGCCGGCUGCCUGCUGCAGUAUGGAGCCUCUGCCAACGCUGAGUCCCUCCAGGGGGUCACGCCCCUCCACCUGGCCUCACAGGAGGGCCAGCCAGACAUGGUGGCCCUGCUCAUCUCCAAACAGGGCAACGUCAACCUGGGGAACAAGAAUGGACUGACCCCUCUGCACCUGGUGGCCCAGGAAGGUCACGUAGGGAUAGCAGACACCCUGGUCAAACAGGGGGCAUCAGUCUACACAGCCUCACGGAUGGGCUACACAGCGCUUCAUGUGGCCUGUCACUAUGGCAACAUCAAGAUGGUGAAGUUCCUCCUGCAGCAGCAGGCUCAUGUGAACAGCAAGACCAGAGUGGGCUACACUCCCCUGCACCAGGCCGCCCAGCAGGGUCAUACUGACAUAGUCACCCUGCUGCUCAAACACGGAGCCCAGCCCAACGAGAUCACCACCAAUGGGACCUCUCCUCUGGGCAUUGCCAAACGACUGGGUUACAUCUCUGUCAUUGAUGUGCUGAAGUUGGUCACCGAGGAGGCCGUUUCCGUGAUCACCACAGAGAAACAUCGGAUGAGUUUCCCUGAGACAGUAGAUGAGAUAUUGGAUGUUUCAGAGGAUGAGGGCGUUGCAGCGCUAACGUUAGGUGAUGAGUUGCUGGGGAUGGAUGGUGCUCGCUACCUAAAGCUUGACGACCUCAAGGACCAGGAUGAUGAUUUCCUGUCCCCUAAGAAGACCCUGAGAGACUUUGAGGGCGGCCUGGGCACCACGCCCUACUCUCCUGCUAUUCCCAGAAUCCCAUGCGUGUCCCCUGAAACUGUCCUGCUUGAGGGGCACACCCCUGUCCCCUUGCCUAAGGAGUAUGAUGAGGACUCUCUGAUCCCCAGCAGUCCUGCUACAGAGACCUCCGACAAUGUUAGCCCAGUGGCCAGCCCCAUACACACAGGGUUCCUGGUCAGUUUCAUGGUGGAUGCCCGGGGGGGCUCCAUGCGUGGCAGCAGACACCACGGGCUGCGUGUCAUCAUCCCCCCUCGGACCUGUGCUGCCCCCACCCGCAUCACCUGUCGUCUGGUCAAACCCCAGAAACUCAACACCCCACCCCCGCUGGUAGAGGGAGAGGGCCUGGCCAGCCGUAUCAUCUCCCUGGGGCCCUCCAGUAUGCAGUUCCUAGGGCCAGUGAUAGUGGAGAUUCCCCACUUCGCUUCUCUGGGUCGAGGGGACCGGGAGCUGGUUGUUCUGCGCAGUGAGAACGGCUCUGUCUGGAAGGAGCAUCGCAAUCGCUAUGGCGAUGAGGUGCUGGAGACCAUUUUGAAUGGCAUGGAUGAAGACCUGGAGAGUCACGAGGACUUGGAGAAGAAGAGAAUCCGCCGCAUCAUCUCCACGGACUUCCCCCUCUACUUCGCUGUGGUGUCCCGCGUCCAGCAGGAGAGCGACCUGAUUGGCCCAGAGGGCGGUCAGCUGGCCAGCAUGCUGGUCCCUCAUGUCCAAGCCAUCUUCCCUGAGACAGCGGUCACCAAGAAAGUUCGACUGGGGCUGCAGGCUCAGCCUAUCCCAGACGAGCUUCUGACUCGACAGCUUGGUAACCAAGCAACCUUCAGCCCAGUGGUCACGGUCGAGCCACGACGACGCAAGUUCCACCGGCCAAUAGGAUUACGCAUCCCGCUGCCCCCAUCUUGGAGGGAGAGUCCACGUGACGCUGGGGAGGGGGACACCACCAGCCUGCGCCUCCUCUGCAGUGUCAUUGGUGGAACAGCACCUGCCCAGUGGGAGGACAUCACUGGCACCACCAAGCUGUUGUACACCAACAACUGCGCCAACUUCACCACCAACGUCUCUGCAAGGUUCUGGCUGGCAGACUGCCCCCGCACAGCUGAGGUGGUGACCUUCGCCAACCUGCUGUACCGGGAGCUGAUGGCCGUGCCCUACAUGGCCAAGUUUGUAAUAUUUGCCAAAAUGAACGAGGCGCGCGAGGGCCGCCUACGCUGCUACUGCAUGACCGACGACAAGAUGGACAAAACCCUGGAGCUGCACGAGAACUUCAGCGAGGUGGCCCGGAGCAGGGAUAUAGAGGUGAUGGAGGGCAUGCCGCUGCACCUGGAGUGCUCUGGUAACCUGGUGCCUGUGAGGAAGGCCACUCAGCAGCCACGCAGCUUCAGCUUCCAAGCCUUCAGAGAUAACAGACUGCCCGUUUCUGUCAAGGUCAGAGACAGCAAUAAGGAAGCCUCUGGGUUCCUUUCUUUCCUGCGGAAGUCUACCAAGUAUGAGGAUGCACAGCACGUGCUGUGUAACCUCAACAUCACCAUGCCACCCUGUGUCAAGGUUGUUGGGAGUGAGGAACGGAGGCGAACUCUGACCCCGUUGGCCCUGAGGGAGCGCUACAACGCGCUGAACGAGCCCGGUCUGGCUACAGUGAAUGCUAUGGAGAGGACCGAGCUCAAGAUCUCCCUCAUAUCUGAACAGCUCGGAUUGAGCUGGGCAGAGUUGGCGCGGGAGCUGCAUUUUGGUGUGGAUGACAUUAACAGAAUCAGGGUGGAGAAUCCUAACUCCCUCCUGGACCAGAGUUCAGCCCUGCUCAACCUGUGGGCUGGCCGGGAGGGCAAGAGGGCCAAGAUGGAGAGUAUAUAUGUAGCUUUGAAGAACAUUGACCGUUCAGACAUUGUGAGUUCCGUGGAGGGCCAGCCACAGGCAGGGGCCGGGGCCUCAGAGGAGGGGGCCUGCAGACUGGUUGACCACGACUCCACCCUGCUCUCCCCCAGUAUUAUCAAUGGUUACGGACUUGUGCAGGAAGAGCUGCUCUCCCCAGCCUCCAUGCAGUACAGUCUGCCCUCUCCGCUGGGAGCUGAGCCCUACUGGCAGGAGGUCUCCAGCCUGGAGUGUGCCCCCAUCGCCACCACCGAAGAAGACACCCUGAUGGAGAUGUCAGACGUGCAGGUGUGGCCCUCGGGGGUCAGCCCCUCCCUGGUCACAGUGGAGGACUCGUCCCUGGAUGGCAGCAGCCGGGCGGAUGACUCAGAGGGGGCCACCCUGUCCCUGCCCUGCAGCCUGGGGCGCCCCAGCAGUGGGGCCAGUGGCUCCAUCAUGGAGCUGGAGGAGGAGGAAGAGGAGGAGGAGGAAGGGGAAGUAGAGGAGGAGGAGGAGGCGCGGCAGGAGCUGGCGGACAGGGACAGGGUGAGGGCCAGCGGCGCCGUGCCAAAGGUCAACCUGAAUGGCCAGCUGGGAGGUCAGAGGUCGGAGGGCAGGAGGGGGGAGGGAGCAGCAUCAGUGGCGGGCAGCAGUGUGACUGGAGGAGGAGCGAGGGGAGGAGGAGGACUAAGACAGAGUUCAGAGGAAGGGCUUUCUGUUGUUGCAGGGCAGCAGGUUUACGCCCAGCUGUGUGAGAUGUCAGGACUGAGCCGAGCCAUGGAGCACAAUGGAGACAGGGUGGUUGGGGGCGGUGCGUUCCAGCCGUACCUCCCCAACAAGGACUCCCUGCGCGGCUGGGCAGGGUCGCAGGCACCCAGGCUGCCCCGGCAGAGUGUGGAGACGCUGAUGAUGUCACCAAGGUCUCGUGUACCCCAAGAGGCUCUGCUGACACCGGUGUGUGACAUGGGGGCACUCGGAGGUGCUGUGCAGGCACCUGUUUGGGACACAGCCCUUCGACAAGGUGUUGGGCUUCUCACAACAAGAGGCAGGGCUCCAGGUUGUCAUGCCGACCGACCACCUGCCGCUUCCUCUGCCUGGAGGAGGGACUUCCUGUCCAUACCUGCGAUAGAUCGGACAAUAUUUUAAUUGGGUUUCAAUCAUGAAAAUUCCAACCAUCAAAACCCACAUUUUGACGUUAUGCCACGUCAUUAUCUGAAAUUGGCUUAAUGGGGCAAAGUUGUGUUGUGUGGUUUGUAAACCUGUGUACUAAUGUCAUGUGGUUAUUUUAUGUGUUAUAUCCUGAUGUUUUGACACAGAUUGAUGCCGAUAAAGAGGACUAUGCUGUUGAGUUUCUGGCUGAGGAGCAGCUGGUGGACGAACAUGGAAACGUUGUCACUAGGAAGGUGGGGGUGGAUGUGAGGAAGGGUACUCAGUCAGUGAAGCGCACCAGUCUGCGGAGAGUUAAACACUGAAACACACAUACCCAGUCCUCAAGAACCGGACAUCCACUGCCAAACCAUCCUCCACAAACAAAAAGCCAGGUGACAGAGGAAAACAGGGAGAAGAUUGAGAGGAGAGGAGAGGAGACUAGAGAAGACUGAAAGAAGGACUAAGAUCAGCAAACAACAAAUACAAACACAAAAUCAUCUGCAGAAUGACCCUGGAUCGCCACAACAAGAGGAAACGAGAAGGAGAUCUACUUGUAGUUUUGUAACA